UUACCGNNUUAANUGGNCGGANACCNUUUUAGCCAAGGUGCUGCAUGGUUGUCGUCAGCUCGUGCCGUGAGGUGUCGGGUUAAGUCCCUUAACGAGCGCAACCCUAUCUUAGUUGCCAGCGUACGGGACUCUAAGAAACUGCCCGUGCAACGGGAGGAAGGUGGGGAUGACGUCAAAUCAUCACGGCCCUUACGCCGGGCCACACACGUGCUACAAUGGGGUACAAGGGGCAAGGUGACUGAUGCAAUCUCGAACCAUCUCAGUUCGGAUUGAAGUCUGCAACUCGACUUCAUGAAGCUGGAAUCGCUAGUAAUCGCGAUCAGCAUGCGCGGUGAAUACGUUCCCGGGCCUUGUACACACCGCCCGUCAAGCCAUGGGAGUCGGGGGCCGAA
rnacentral:rRNA from 1 species